rnacentral:rRNA from 1 species
GAUGAACGCUAGCUCCAGGCUUAACACAUGCAAGUCGCGGGGCAGCAUGGGGGUUGCUUGCAAUCCCCGAUGGCGACCGGCGCACGGGUGAGUAACGCGUAUCCAACCUGCCCUUCACCACGGGAUAACCCGGCGAAAGUCGGACUAAUACCGUAUGUUGUCCAUUGACGGCAUCCGAUUUGGACGAAAGGUUUGGCGGUGAAGGAUGGGGAUGCGUCCGAUUAGCUGGACGGCGGGGUGACGGCCCACCGUGGCGACGAUCGGUAGGGGUUCUGAGAGGAAGGUCCCCCACACUGGAACUGAGACACGGUCCAGACUCCUACGGGAGGCAGCAGUGAGGAAUAUUGGUCAAUGGGCGUAAGCCUGAACCAGCCAAGUAGCGUGCAGGAUGACGGCCCUAUGGGUUGUAAACUGCUUUUAUGCGGGGAUAAAGUGGCCCACGUGUGGGUUUUUGCAGGUACCGCAUGAAUAAGGACCGGCUAAUUCCGUG